rnacentral:tRNA from 1 species
GGAGGUUCCGGGCCGGGUUCGGGUUCCGGGACCGGGAGUUCCGGGUACAGCGGCUCGGGAUCCGGUUCCGGGGCGGGGCCGGGGAGUUCCUA